GGGGGGGGGGGGGGGGGGGGGGGGGGGAGGCGGGGCGGGCGAGGGGGGGGGGAGCUGGGGCCGCGGACGUGGGCGGCGGACGGGGGGGUGACACGGGGAUAACCGAACUAUAAGACUGGGAGAACUUCGGGAAACCGGAGCUAAUACCGGAGAAUAUAUUGACCCGCAUGGGUCAAUAGUGCAAGCAGGUUUUGCUGUCACUUAUAGAUGGAUCCGCGCCGCAUUAGCUAGUUUGUAAGGGAACGGCUUACCAAGGCAACGAUGCGUAGCCGACCUGAGAGGGUGAUCGGCCACACUGGAACUGAGACACGGUCCAGACUCCUACGGGAGGCAGCAGUAGGGAAUCUCCCGCAAUGGGCGAAAGCCUGACGGAGCAACGCCGCGUGAGUGAUGAAGGUCUUCGGAUCGUAAAACUCUGUUAUUAGGGAAGAACAAAUGUGUAAGUAACUAUGCACGUCUUGACGGUACCUAAUCAGAAAGCCACGGCUAACUACGUG
rnacentral:rRNA from 1 species